GACGAACGCUGGCUGCGUGCUUAACACAUGCAAGUCGAACGCUGAAGCCCGCAGCUUGCUGUGGGUGGAUGAGUGGCGAACGGGUGAGUAACACGUGAGUAACCUGCCCCUGACUUCGGGAUAAGCCCGGGAAACUGGGUCUAAUACCGGAUACGACCAUCGGACGCAUGUCUGGUGGUGGAAAGUUUUUUCGGUUGGGGAUGGGCUCGCGGCCUAUCAGUUUGUUGGUGAGGUAAUGGCUCACCAAGACGACGACGGGUAGCCGGCCUGAGGGGGCGGCCGGCCACACUGGGACUGAGACACGGCCCAGACUCCUACGGGAGGCAGCAGUGGCGAAUAUUGCACAAUGGGGGAAACCCUGAUGCAGAGACGCAGCGUGCGGGAUGACGGUCUUCGGGUUGUAAACCGCUUUCAGCAGGGAAGAAGCGAAAGUGACGGUACCUGCAGAAGAAGUACCGGCUAACUACGUGCCAGCAGCCGCAGUAA
rnacentral:rRNA from 1 species